GAUGAACGCUGGCGGCGUGCCUAAUACAUGCAAGUCGAGCGAACAGAUAAGGAUCUUGCUCCUUUGACGUUAGCGGCGGACGGGUGAGUAACACGUGGGUAACCUACCUAUAAGACUGGGAUAACUUCGGGAAACCGGAGCUAAUACCGGAUAAUAUUUCGAACCGCAUGGUUCGAUAGUGAAAGAUGGUUUUGCUAUCACUUAUAGAUGGACCCGCGCCGUACUAGCUAGUUGGUAAGGUAACGGCUUACCAAGGCGACGAUACGUAGCCGACCUGAGAGGGUGAUCGGCCACACUGGAACUGAGACACGGUCCAGACUCCUACGGGAGGCAGCAGUAGGGAAUCUUCCGCAAUGGGCGAAAGCCUGACGGAGCAACGCCGCGUGAGUGAUGAAGGUCUUCGGAUCGUAAAACUCUGUUAUUAGGGAAGAACAUACGUGUAAGUAACUGUGCACGUCUUGACGGUACCUAAUCAGAAAGCCACGGCUAACUACGUG
rnacentral:rRNA from 1 species